rnacentral:lncRNA from 1 species
AGCUUUGAAGCCGGCGAGCGGUGAGGAGGAGGCGCCCUCGCGUGUGGAGAGCGGACUCCGCCUGGACUCCACCGCCCACGGCCGCAUCCCAUCGCCGCACAAGAUCGCCGGAGUCAUAUUAUCGACGUAGUUAAAGCCCACUAGCCUAAAGCCGGGCGGACUGCGAAAAAACCAUGAAAAGCCAUCAAGCCCAAACAAAUUCCUGCUGGAGGAACUCCAGAUGUUGUGCAUCACUUCACAGGAUUUAUGACAGAGCCAAUCAAGGAAAUCAUGAAAGAGAUUGCAGAUAUGGCAAAAAAGGUUUCAAGAUACAAAUCUUGGAGAAAUUCAAGAGCUAAGAGACACCACACCAGAGGAAUUAACAGAAGACCACUUGAUGGAGAUGACUCCUUCUGAACCCAGUGCCAGACGAUGAGGAAGAAGACGAAGCAGUGCCAGAAAACAAAUUGACAUUAGACAAUCUGGCAGAAGGGUUCCACUUAUUCAAUAUGGCUUUUGACUUCUCUUAUAACAUGGACUUUUCUAUGAAACAGGCACUGAAUCUAAAGCAAAUGGUGGAAGAAGAAUUGGUGCUAAAUGGAAACAUGUUUAGAGAAAUGGAAAAGCAAAAAAGUCAGACAAAUUAUGAUGUAUCUCCAUCAGAUUACACUUAUUGUGCCUCCCUCUCCUGCCUCCUCUUCCACCUCUUCUACUUCUGCCACCCCUGAGACAGCAAAGCCAACCCCCGCUUCUCAGCCUAUUCAAGGUGAAAAUUAUGAGGACGGAGACAUUUAUGAUGAUUCACUUACACUUAAUGGAGAGUAAAUAUAUUUUCUCCUCAUGAUUUCCUUAAAACGUUUUCUUUAGCUUACUUUAUUAUAAGAAUACAGUAUAUAACAUAUGUAACAUACAAAAUUGUCGAGUGCGGUGGCUCACAUCUGUAAUCCCAACACUUUGGGAGGCUGAGGCAGACGGAUCACUUGAGACCAGGGGUUUGAGACCAGCCUGGCCAACAUGGCGAAACCCCGUCUCUAUUAAAAAGAUAAAAAUUAGCCAGACAUGAUGGUGCGUGCCUGUAAUCGCACCUACUCGGGAGGCUGAGGCAGGAGAAUCUCUUGAACCCAGGAGGCGGAGGUUGCAGUGAGCCGAGAUUGCACCACUGCACUCCUUGCCUGGGUGACAGAGCAAGACUCCAUCUCAAAAAAAAAAAAGUGUUAAUUGUUUAUGUUGUUGGUAAGACUUCCGAUCAACAGUAGGCUGUUACUACAGUUUUGGGGGAUGGAAUUUUGACUGUGAGGGUCUGUGCCCCUAACCUCAUGUUGCUUAAGGGUCAACUGUACAUAGAUAUGUUACAUACACACACAUACUUCCUCCCUCUCUGUAAUUUGGAUCCUAUGCCUAUUAUCUUUUAGUUUACUAACUUGACUUAAGAAGUCCUGAUCAUUUUUUGAUGUUCAUGCAUACCGUAUAGAUCCUACCUCAUUUGACUCCUACAAAAUAUUUGUUAAGGGUGUUCUAAAAGUUACUUUUUGUAGUUAAACUACACUUUAUUUACAUUUGUUUGUUAUGGAAAUAAUGCAUAAUAAUCGUUAAAAAUCCAAACAAAAGGGGGGAACAUAUUAAAAGAAAAGUAAGGGUCUCCCUGCUACUCUACCUACCUACCCACCUACCUUAUCUGUUACCAUAUCCUAGACCCAACUGCAAUUAACAAUUUCUGGUUUUAGUUCUUCUGGUUCUUUUCAUUAUAACCUUAAAUACUGUACAUAUACAUCUUGACUCACCAGCUGAAAAUCCUUCAAAGGGACAAAAACUUAUUCUUAACUCCUAAUUUAAAAAAUUGUAUUACUUUUAGUUUUGCUAGAAGCUUUCAUGACUUUAGGUUGUUUACCUAAAUCAUUAUUUAUAAAUUUUACACACUGUAUAUUGGCUCCCUACUAGGAGAGGUGAGGAAUUGGUACAUUCUUACUUUCUCGUCUUUUCCCCUCCCCCUCCUAAUUUUGUUAGUUUCAUUCUCAUUUUUAGUCUGUCAAGAAUUUGCAUUCUUUUUGUAAAUAAAAUUACAGACAUCCCUUGGUAUCCAUGGGGGAUUGGUUCCAGGACCUCUCGUAUACACCAAAAUCCACAUACACUCAAAUCCCACAGUUGGCCCUGUGGAACCUGUGGAUAUGACCAUUCGCAUCCCAAGAAUACUGUAUUUUCCACCUAUUCUUGGUUUCAGUUGUGGAACCCACUGAUAUGGAGGGCCAACUGUAUAUAUUGAAAACAAUUUGCAUAUAAGUAGACCCACACUGGUUCAGACCCCUGUUGUUCAGGGUCAGCUCUAUAUCUUUCCAACUUUGUGCAUUGAUUGAAAAACCAACAACAGUAUGAUAUUAGGGCUAUAACAGAUCUGUUAGGCCAAGCCCACAUGCCCCUGAACAGAACAUUCUGCACAUUGGGCCAACUUCCAACUGCCGGCACCUGAAGUUAUUUGCAUUAUCAGCUAUCUUUGUCCACCAGAGCCUGCUCUGCCUGCAUUUUGGGAAGACCUAAAGUGCCAAGGAAUUAACACACCCUGCAAGUAUGCUCAAUUGAAGGCAAUGAAUAGAAAAAGACCCCUGACUCCUUCACCCCUGGAUUUCAGGGAGGUAAAUCCAAGAUGUAUGCUAAGGAGGUGACACUUAAUGUCAGACACACACACCUGUUAUGAGAGUUUCCUGAUUGAAUAAGAAAGAGGCAUUCCAGGCAGAAGUACCCGAACAUACAAGAGUGCAAGACCAAGAGGCUAAGGCAGAUUGCUCUGUGCAAGAAGUGGCAGGUAGUGUGGCGUGGCUGGAGAUGAAGAAAUGACUGGAUUGGGAAGGACUUUAUCCACCAAUCUAAUGAAUUUGACUUUCAUCUUGAAGGUGUGAAAUAGCGUGCUAAACAAGUUUAAAAGCAAAAUGUCAUUAGCCUAUUUGUAUUUAGAAAGAGCACUCCAGAAGCAAGGAGGGGAUGGGUGAAUUGGAUGUACUGACACUGGAACAAGGAAAUUAUUCCAAUAGUCCAGGAAAGAAGAAGGACAUCAACUAAAAUUGCACAAGUGAACAUGGAAAAAAGAGGAUGCGUCUGAGAAAUAUAAAUAUUGGCCGGGGCGGUGGCUCACACCUGUAAUCCCAACACUUCGGGAGGGUGAGGUGGGCAGAUUGCUUGAACUCAGGAGUUCAAAACCAGCCUGGGUAACAUGGCAAAACCCCUCUCUACACAAAAUACAAAAAUUAGCCAAGCGUGAUGGCAUGGCCUGUAGUCCCAGUUACUCAGGAGGCUGAGGUGGGAGGAUCACUUGAGCCUGGGAGGUUGAGGCUGCAGUGAGCCAUGAUCUCGCCACUGCACUCCCACCUGGGAGAUAGAGUGGGACCCUGUCUAAAAAAAAAAACAAAGAAAUAUAAAUAUUGUAUUAGGGUUUACCAAAGAAACAGAACCAAUACGAUAUAUGUAUGUAUACGGGUAUAUAUAUAAGGAGAUUCAUAUAAGGAACUGACUCACAAGAUCACUGAGGCUGGCAAGUCUACAGGAUGAGCCAGCAAGCUGGAGACCCAGGAGAACUGAUGGCAUAGUUCCUGACCAGAGGCUAGCAGGCUUGAAAUCCAGGAAGAGUCAGUGUUUCAAUCUGAGUCUGAAGGCAAGAAACAAGCUGAUGUCCCAGUCAAAAGAUCAGAAGGCAGGAGAGAUUCUUUCUUACUCAGGGAGGAUCAGUUUUUUUGUUUUAUUCAGGCUUCUAACUGAUUGGAUGAGACUCACUCAUAUGUUAGGGAGGUCAAUUUGCUUUACUCAGGCUAUCCAUUUAAAUGUUAAUCUCAUCCCAAAACACCCUCAUACACACACCCAGGAUAAUGUUUCAGCAAGUAUCUGGGCACUCUAUGGCCCAGUCAAGUUGACACAUAAAAUUAAUCACAAAUAUGUUCCAGUAACUUAGUUUUUAAACAACUAGAUUCUUAUGAGAAUAAACUCAGGAUAGGAUAGGGGAAAUGCUUUCUGGCUUUCCACUUGCAUAUUCUUGGAAUGUCACUUUUUCUUAAAUGUUAAAAAUUGAAGGCCAGGCAUGGUGGCUCAUGCCUGUAAUCCCAGCACUUUGGGAGGCUGAGGUGGGUGGAUCACGAUGUCAGGAGUUCCAGACCAGCCUGACCAUCAUGGUGAAACCCCAUCUUUACUAAAAAUACAAAAAAAUAGCUGGGAGUGGUGGCGCGUGCCUAUAAUCCCAACUACUCAGGAGGCUGAGGCAGGAGAAUCACUUGAAACCUGGGAGACGGAGGUUGCAGUGAGCCAAGAUCACGCCACCGCACUGCAGCCUGGGCAACAAGAAUGAGACUCCAUCUCAAAAAAAAAAAAAAAAAAUGAAAAUGUGUCGUUAAUCAUCGAGAUAGUCUUUCAGUCUGCACUCAGUAAUAUUAAUGCCUUCUCAUUGAAGUCAUCUAUUCUGUUCCCAUAAAGAUCAGGAUAGUUUAGGUAGUGGUGAAUAAAUAAGGUUCUCAAUGGCCUAUUAGUUUUUUUAAAUGUUCAAAAGAUAGUAGCAUGUUGGGAAAAGAGAUGAAUUCCACAUUUCUUUUGGUACAGUACAACUUACUGAAAUUGCUUUCUUAUUUCAACAAGGAUUUACCAGGUUGUGUGUAGUGGUUAAAAGCAUGGACUUUACAGCCACAUUACAUGGGUUCAAAUCCACUUACUAGUUAUGUUAACCACAGGAAGUUAGCUAAUGUCUCUCUGCCUCAGUUUUCUGUUUGUAAAUUAGGAUAAAAAUCUCCGUAGAUGUGAAUAUGUAUAGCUAGAUAGUAGAUUGUAUUCAAAAUCCCAAUCAUAACAUAAUAAAAAUAUUAACUAUUAUUAGUUGUUUUGAAUAUACAACCUAAUUUCAUUUUCUCCAUGAUCUGAGCAUGUUGAGUUAUUUUUAAACAACUCCAUUUUACAGAUGAGACAGUGUUCCAAUAAGCUAGGUAGUAUGCCCACAGACACACAGCUAGCAGCUGAGAUGAACCACCCAAGUCUAUUUGGUUUUCAGCUCAUGUUCUUUUCAUGAUAUUUUGCUUUCUCUCAAUAUUUAUAGAAUUUAAUUUAAUUGACUAGAAUUAAACUAAGAGAAAAUGAUUGAAUGAAGAGAUGCAGAAGGCAAGAGAUAGCAAAGGUCAUUCUGGGCUGGGCAUGGUGGCUCACACCUGUAAUCCCAGCACUUUGGGAGGCCUAGGCGGGUGGAUCAUCUGAGGUCGGGAGUUCAAGACCACCCUGGCCAACAUGGUGAAACACCCCCGUCUGCUAAAAAUACAAAAAUUAGCUGGGUGUGGUGGCAGGCGCCUGUAAUUGCAGCUACUCGGGAAGCUGAGGCAGGAGAAUCGCUUGAACUGGGGAGGUGGAAGUUGCAGUGAGCCGAGAUGUGCCAUUGCACUCCAGCCUGGGCAGUAAGAGCGAAACUCCGUCUCAAAGCAAAAAAAAGAAAAGCUACCUUUACCAAAGACAGUUAAAAUGAUGGCCACCAAGGGGCAGUGUGCAGCAGGCAGAGAAGGUGGCUUUUUAAAUUAUUUUUCACUGCCUGCUGAGACAAAGAUGUUACACCAGAAUAUGCCACCCUAACAUAUGCUUCUUUGGCAUAAGGAUUAUUUUGAGCUGAAGACGAUUGAGAAGAAACAAAUAAAAGAAAAACUCUGCCUUCCCUUUCUUUGCCUAAAGGCAGGACAUGCUAGUUAAUGAUCAACCCCUGACCUAAUCGGUUAUGUUACCUAUAGAUUACAGACAUUUUAUAGAAAAAGAAAAACACGGUGAAAAUCCCUGUCCUGUUCUGUUCCAUUGUAAUUACCAGUGCAUGCAGCCCCCAAUCACAUACCCACUGCUUGCUCAAUCGAUCAUGACACUCUCAUGUGGACCCCCUUAGAGUUGUAAGCCCUUAAGAGGGAAAGGAAUUGCUCACUUGGGGAGCUCGGUUUUUGGAGACGUGAGUCUGCUGAUGCUCCCAGCUGAAUAAAGCCCUUCCUUCUACAACUCGGUGUCUGAGGGGUUUUGUCUGUGGCUACAAACCUGUCUUUGGCCAGUCUAAUUUACAGGACCUCAGCCAGAGAACUAAGAUGGGUAGAGGCAAUACAGGAGAUAGAAAUAAUUUAGGUAGGUAGAUAGGGUGAAAGAGUCCCUGACAAAAGCUUUUCUUCUGACAAAAAACAGCUCAGAAAUUACUUCCAUUCUAACCACAGGCAGUCCAAAUAAAUCACUUCUCUUUUAACAAAGAGCAGCCUGGAAGAUUGGACUGUAUAAUGUAGAUAAGCAUCUCCGGCACAGAGGGAGAGUUUCUUGGGUAGUCACCAAACUUACAUAAAUGGGUCCCAGUAAAAACAGUAGGCUUUAAUGAGCACAUUCCUUUCCCCUUUUUUGGACAGGGACACACUAAGGUUAGCUAGAAGCUUGCAUGGUGGGGUGGGGGAAAUGCCUGCAGCUGCAAGGAGGUACCCAGGACAAGGCAUGGAAACUCCCCCUAUUCUUGUUAGCACAUGCAAGGUGGAAGGAGAAAGGCAGUGUGGAGUCGCCCAAGCUAAGAGCCUGCCUGCAUGAUAAAAGAAUGGGGUAGGGGCUGCCAGAGAUUCCACUCUAUACAGAUGACACACCUGGUCCUAACCAGGUUUUCAUGCCCUAUGUAGAUAAGAUACCCGCUCCCUACUAGCUCGUUGAUAAAAACCCUCCAUUUUACUGCAGCACGGCAACCCGUCUGGGACCUCUCUCUGUGAGAGAGAGCUGUCCUUUUCCUUUUGCCUAUUACACUUCUCUAACUUCACCCUUUGUGUGUCUGCAUUCUUCAUUUCUGUGGCCAUGAGACAAAAAACCUCAGCUGAUAUCCCAGACAACAAGGCUGCUUUAGAGGGAAAACGGAUAGCUAAUAUUAUCAGUUAAUUGGCUAUGUUAAUUGAUACCUUCAAAUUAGGUGUUUUAAAAUAAAUGCUGAGAACAAUAUGAAAGUGUUUUUCUUUUACUAAUUCUCUGAGGAUUUUGUUAUUUAUUUAGCUUUACAAUGCCUAGCCCCCUUUAUAAAUGUAAUUAUUGUGUUGCUAAGUGCAUGUAUACAAAAAAUUCAUUGGUUCAAAAGCCAUAGGCCUGGUACCAUAGCCAUAUAUGGUACGUUCAAACCUUGGAAAUGCACAUUCUCAGUGUGUCGGAAGCUCUGUACUGCUCCUUCUUGAAGAACUACUUUGAUUUGUGGUUAACUCGCUGUUUUGACUCACUGUUUUAACUCCCAUUACUUCAGUAUCUGACAUUCAGCCUCAGAAUCUGGCCAGUGUAUCAGGGCUGGAAUUAAUUGAUUAACACCAUUAGAUGGCAGUACUAUUUAAAUUCCAAAAAUGGUUAUAAACUCAUUCUCUAAAAUGUGUGUCAAAUAGAAUAUUUGACUGAUAAUAACUCUAAGAGCACAAAAGGAUUAAACACACACACAAGACAAAGUUUGGGAUAUACCCAUUGGAAAAACCCUUGGUCUCUUUAAAUUUUUUUUCAUAUGUAUGUAUAUUGCACAUAUUGCCGGCCUCUUUAUCUCUUUUUUCCUUUUUUUUUUUUUUUUUUUUGAGAAGGAGUCUUACUCUGUCACCCAGGCUGGAGCACAGUAGUGCAAACAUGACUCACUGCAGCCUUGAACUCCUGGGCUCAAGCGACCUUGUCACCUUAGCCACUGUGACCAGCCUUCUUUUCCCUUUUGACUUUGUUAUAUCACACUGACUCUAGAAAUGUGGUUCUUUAUUGGGGCGAUUUUGCCCUCCCCCGGGGACAUCUGACAAGGUCUGGAGACAUUUUGAUUGUGGGUAGGGGGAGGGACACUCUGCUACAGGCAUCUAGUUGGCAGAGCCCAGAGAUACCGCUACACACCCUACACUGUGCAGAACAGCCCCUACGGCCAGGAAUUAUCAGGCCCAAACAAAAUACCAAGUUAGUUUUUAAUUUCAAAGUUUACGCGUAACAUUAUUUUUUAGAUAUAAAAAAUAUUCACACAUUAAUUUGAUCACAAGAAAUUUUAAAGAAAUUUAAACAUUUUCAGAAAAGGCUACUUCAAGGUGUCAUGACAGCUUUGGACCAAACAUUAAUGUUCUAUAUGACUUUGGGCAAGUCAGUCAUGUUUAUUAGACUUAAUAACCCAGGUAACGUUAGCUGUUGGAGGGUUUUUUAAAAAACGUUUUAUUUUGAAAAAACUUCAAACUUAAAGGAAAAAUGGCAAGAAUACUACAAAGACCUAUUUAUUCAGAUACACCAGUUGUCACAAUUUUGCCAUAUUAACUUUAUCUAUUGAUCAAUUUCUCUUUCAGUCUAUUGACCUAUCUAUCUUGAACUAUUUGGGAUUAAGUUGUAGACAUCUGAUCCCCUUACCCUUAAACACUUUACCACGUCUUCCUAAGAAUAAGACCAUUACUCCACACAGUACACUUAUCUAAAUCAGGAGACAGCAUUGUUAUAAUACUGUUACCAAGUGGCAAGCUGGUGCACUGUCCAGACAGGGAGAGAGGGAGAGAGGACCUGAUUUGUAACAUUUGCCAGUUCCCAUGUGUGAUGGUUUACUUUGGUUCAUAACUACCAUUGUCCUUGUUACAGUCUUUUAUUAAAAUGUGGGGUGUGUUAGGCCGCAAGGGCAGGCCUCAAGAAACAGAAUCUCUCUCCUGCCCUCCUUUCACCUGCCCCAAGGCAGGAUUCCAUCUUCUCCCACCUUUCCAACUGUGGGUCUUAAGACUUUUCAGAGAGGGUCCUGCCAUACACACUGGGGGAAGGAAUGCUGACGUCAUGAAGCUUCCAUGAAAACUCAAGAGGACUGAGUUCAGAGAGCUUCCGGAUAGCUGAAAACAUGGAGGUUCCUGGUUCCUGGAGGGUGGCGCCCCAGGCAUGGAAGCUCUGAGCCCCUUCCUCCGCACCUCAUCUCUUCAUCUGUAUCCUUUGUAAUAUCCUUUAUUAUAAAACAGCAAAUGUGUUUCCCUGAGUUCUGUGAGCCACUCCAGCAAAUCAAUCAAACCCAAAGAGGGGGUCAUGGGAACCCCAACUUGAAGCUCAAUCAGAAUUUCCCAAGGCCCAGAUUUGCAACUGAUAUCUGGGGGUGAGGGUGGUCUUGGGGUCUGAGCCCUCAAUCUGUGGGAUCUGAUGCUACCUCCAGAUAGAUAGUGAAGGAACUGGGUGGAGGUCCUGGCUUGUGUCUGCCUCUUGGUGGUGGGGAGAAGUUCCCACACAUAUGGUCACAGGAGUCUUCUGUGUUGAUGAUUGCUGUUGUGGUGUGAGAGCAGAGGAAAAACACAGUUUGAGAGAGUUUUCCCAAAAUACCAUGAAAUGAAGAGAGAAAGAAACACGAGCAAAUAAACAGAACUGAUAAUGCAUUAAAAGAAAAGAUGAAAAAAUAUGAGGCUAUAAAAGAGACGUGUGGUACAGGAUAACGGUCACCCAAAGAUGUCCCCAUCCUAAUCUCCAGAACCUGUGCCUGUGUCACCUGACAUGGCAAAGUGACAGCAAAUGUGACUACCUUAUGGAUCUCAAGAGAGAAGCCUGAUCCUGGAUCAUCUGGCUGAGUCCAGCCUAAUUGCAUGGGUCCUUAACAGUGGAGAGUCGACUGCAGUGGUAUGAAGGAAAUGCAGCUAUGGAAGAAACGGUCUGAGAAAUGGUACAUUGCUGGCUUUGUGGAUGGAGGAAAGUGGUCAUGAGCCAAGGGAUGUGUACUACCUCUAGAAGCUGGAAAAGGGAAGAAAACAGAUUUGCCCUAAAGCCUCCAGAAUGAAAUCCAGACCUACUGACACCCUGGUUUUAGCUCAGUGAGACCCAUGGUGGGCUUCUGAAGGCAAAAUUGUAAGAUAAUAAAUGUGUUAAGACACUAAAUUUAUGGUGAUAUGCUACACAGUGGUAGAAAAUUAGUACAAGAUGAAAAAGAUUUAAAAGGAAAUGACAGAUAUACAUAUAUAGGAAACAGGCAAGGAAGACCCUGUACACAUGGGUACACGUGCAUGCGCACACACACACAGAUAUAUUAGUUCCUAAAGAAAUAAAAUCAGCCAGGCGCGGUGGCUCACGCCUGUAAUCCCAGCACUUUGGGAGGCUGAGACAGGUGGAUCACCUGAGGUCAGGAGUUCAAGACCAGCCUCAACAUGGAGAAACCCUGUCUCUACUAAAAACACAAAAUUAGCUGGGCGUGGUGGUGCAGGCCUGUAAUCCCAGCUACUCAGGAGGCUGAGGCAGGAGACUUGCUUGAACCUGGGAGGCGGAGGUUGCAGUGAGCCGAGAUCGUGCCAUUGCACUCCAUCCUGGGCAACAAGAGUGAAACUCCGUCUCAAAAAAAAAAAAAAAAAAAAGAAAAUCAAAAGGAAUAGAUCCAAACAAACAAGAUGUAUAAUUCAGGAAAGGUUUCCUGAAAUAAGCAUAUACUUGAAACGACAUAUUGAAAGAUUAUCUAAACACCUUGGAAAAUGGAGUCCAAAUAUCCAAUACCAAGACAUUCUAGUAAAAUUAUUGGAAGAGAAAGGAAAGAAGGAAGAAGGGGAAAGAAGGAAGAAGGGGAAAGAGGGAAGAAAUAAAAUUUCUUGGGGUUCCUUUCCCCACCAAAAGAAGAUGCACUGACAUUUUGAAAGAAAAUUAGUUUGACAUCAGAUUUUUCAACAGCAAUGCCUUAUGUCAGAACAAAAUGGAGUUACAUAUUCAGGCCAAGUGUGGUGGCGCACACCUGUAAUCCCAGCACUUUGGGAGGCUGAGGCGGGUGAAUCGCUUGAGCCCAGGAGUUCAAGAGCAUCCAGGGCAAUGUGGCAAAACCCCGUCUCUUCAAAAAAUUAGCCAGGCAUGGUGGCAUGCACCUGUAGUUCCAGCUAUUGAGGAGGCUGAGCUGAAAGGAUCGUUUGAGCCCAGGAGGUUGAGGCUGCAGGGAGCUAUGAUCUGCACUCCAGCCUGAGUAACAAAGUGAGACUCUGUCUCAAAAAAAAUAAAAAAAAUAAAAUAAAAUGAAAAAAGAUACUCGAGGAAAGUAAAGAUAAGCCAAAAUAAUUUUCAAGUAUAAAAGCAGCAAAGUGUUACCAAAAUGCAAAGACUCAGGAAAUACAGUUACCAUAAGCUAUUCCUAAGGAAUCUACUAGUGAACAAGUUUCAAACAGUCACAAUGACUGCAGAGACAUUGACGUAAAGACAGAUGGCAAAUAUUAAGUGGGUGGGUAGGUAGAUACAGCUGUAGAUAUGGCCAGCUGUUUGCUGGAGGCAAUUUGGACAAGCUUAUGAGAGCCAAUGAACUUUUCAAGAAUUUUAUGAGUUGGUUAUUAAACAUAGACAUUAUGAACAGUUAAAGUAUAUACAUGUACGUACAUUUAAAUAAAUUAAAAACAGUAAACACUAAAAACACAUCGCUUCAUAAUUAUGUUACUACAUUUUACAAUUAUCUAUGCUUUUGAGGUUAUUUACAUUGAUUGUAUCAAAUGGUGGAGAUAGGGUCAGCUUCUGCACAUCUUUUCCCGAACUCCACAUUUAAUGAUGUCACCUUGAUAGCUCACCAAUGGUGAAAGUAUUUACUCCAUGGAAAGCUGCAAAAUGCUAUGAAUCAGGGCUUUUUCCCCCUUUUUCUGGAGAGUCUCUUGUUAAACAUUUCCUAGCACAUCAAUGGAUUCAAAAAAGAGAAGCUAGUAUGCAACAGAUCCAUGACUUGACAAUGUAGAUACACCACCACUCUGAAGACAUAUGAGGAGGGCACUGGGAGAGCGUAUGAAAAAUGUCUUUUUAGCCUUUCAGUAAUCAUUUUGGGUGAUAGUGAUGUCAUCGUUAUUCUGAGAAUGGAGUGUGUGCAAUGUCAAUUAAAGCAAAUAAAUAAUCAUAUGAUAUAUUUAAUUGUGUUAUCCUCUCUGUUUUGAAAACCAGGAUUUGGCCGUGGAUGGUGGCUCACACUUGUAGUCCCAGCACUUUGGGAGGCUGAGGCAGGUGGAUCACUUGAGGUCAGGAGUUUGAGAUCAGCUGGCCAACAUGGAGAAAACCCCGUGUCUACUAAAAAAUACAAAAAUUAGGCCGGGCACGGUGGCUCACGCCUGUAAUCCCAGCACUUUGGGAGGCCGAGGCGGGCGGAUCACGAGGUCAGGAGAUCGAGACCAUCCUGGCUAACACGGUGAAACCCCGUCUCUACUAAAAAUACAAAAAAAAAAAUUAGUCGGGCGUGGUGGC